rnacentral:rRNA from 1 species
UACAGAGGUCUCAAGCGUUGUUCGGAUUCAUUGGGCGUAAAGGGCGUGUAGGUGGCGCUGUAAGUCGGGUGUGAAAUUUCGGAGCUUAACUCCGAAACUGCAUUCGAUACUGCGGUGCUUGAGGACUGGAGAGGAGACUGGAAUUCAUGGUGUAGCAGUGAAAUGCGUAGAGAUCAUGAGGAAGACCAGUGGCGAAGGCGGGUCUCUGGACAGUUCCUGACACUGAGACACGAAGGCCAGGGGAGCAAACGGG